rnacentral:rRNA from 1 species
GACGAACGCUGGCGGCAUGCCUAACACAUGCAAGUCGAACGAGAAAGUACCUUCGGGUAUUAUUAAAGUGGCGAACGGGUGAGUAACGCGUAGGCAACCUGCCUUUUAGUUUGGGAUAAACACUGGAAACGGUGUCUAAUACCGGAUGUGAACCUUUUAUGCAUAUAGAAGAGUUUAAAGGUUUCGGCCGCUAAAAGAUGGGCCUGCGUAACAUUAGCUAGUUGGUAAGGUAACGGCUUACCAAGGCAACGAUGUUUAGCUGAUUUGAGAGAGUGAUCAGCCACACUGGGACUGAGAUACGGCCCAG